GAUCACGUGAUCUUUGAUAGCGUCACUCUCUCAGAAAAUUCCCGCAGGUCAAAAGGUAGGCGCCAUCUUAAUAUUGAUUUAUUUACGUUUGCCAAGUUUGUUUAUCUUCCGGGUCACAACCUUUUUGCUCGGUCAUGCAUGUGAAGGUGUUAGUGAUGGGCCAUAGUUAUAUUAGAAGGCUCGGGGAGGCGGUGAACGGUUCUAAUUCAAACUGGACUAAUCUUCGUUUGUCGGACGAUGAUGUUUUGGUUUCAUUUAAAGGCAAGGGAGGCGGCAAGGUGCGCGAUAUGGUAUCAGGGGAAUUUUCAAGAGUUGUAACACACGUCAAACCUGAUAUUGUUGUUCUGCAAAUAGGCGGAAAUGAUUUGGACAAUACCAAUGUGGUCCCGGCAAAAAUAGCACAGGACAUUAUGUCGGUGGCUGGCUGGCUAGUGUCUGGACAUGCCGUCCGCCAUGUUUGUAUUAUGCAGCUUUUGCCCCGAGAAAGGACAAGGCAGUUAUCGCCAAGUCGGUAUAAUGAGUUGGUUCGUCAAGUGAAUCGGGAGUUGAAGGACGUUAUAUCACGGAUACAUCAUAUAUCUUACCACAAGCACAAGGGACUAAAGGCCAGUAUAAAUAACGUGUUUCUGCCAGAUGGGGUGCAUUUGAACAAUUCCUGUGGACUACCUAAAUAUAUCAGGAGUGUUCGGGGAGCGGUUUUCUCAUCAUAUCGGAGAAUUUCCAAUUAGAUCAACCACGAUAUGGAGAAUAACCAUGCCACCUACACGCCCAUCUAGAAAGGCCAAGGAACGGCAUGCAUUGGUACGUCCUGGUAAGAGACAAAGAGCAACAAAGAUCAGCGAAGAUAUUGAGGAACAGGUGACGAUUGUGGGGAAUUCGCCUAACCAAGACACAGCAUCAGCCUCCAGUGCCUUAAUAGCACUGCCACCAUCACCAGCCAUUCCUGGGGUGUCAGAAUUGGCUGCUGAAAUGCUUAGACAGAUGAAGGCAGAUGGACUGAUAAUGAGGUCAGCAAAUCUGAUGGGGCCAACUGUGCCCGUACAAAUGUACCUGCCACAUCUACUGCCCCUCAAACCCAUACAACGCCUAAAGCCACCAUGAGUCAUUCCUCCACAGCAAGGGAAGGUCUUACCUCAGUGGAACGGCCAGAACAGGUCGGAGUAGCCAUCUCUGAUGUAAACUCCAGCACAUUUGCCAAAGAAGCCAUCAGUUCCCUGACAGGUACACCAGCUCUAAAUAGCAACAAUUUUUCAAUGAACUCGAUCUCCCGCCCUCUUGAUGUGAAUGUUGAUAUACGUUUAAAACAAAAAAUUUGGGCUGAGCAAUUUGUUGAGUUUGGGGCCUUAGUUCAGGUUAAGCAUAAUGAGACUUAUGAGCUCACUAUGGAGGCAAAUAAUUUAGCUUUGGUCCCAAAAUCACGCCCAGUCCCUAUUCGAACAAUGGAUCAAUGGAAUGCAGCAUUCCAAGUUUUUGUUACAAUAGUGGUACAGGGUAAGCCGGAAUUGGCAGCUCCUUUAACCCCUUAACUCCCAACUACGCCAAACUACGCCUAUAGCACUUCGGUGCAAGAUAAAUGGUCGUAUCUCCUUUAUUUGUUAACCUAUUAAAAUACCGAAUAUACCUAGUAAAACAGGAGAAAAUAUCCAACAACAUUUGUUCUUUGUAAAAUUUCAUUUGACAAACUUUUUUGAUGCAUUUCAUGAGUUGAAAAAACAAGCCAACUUUUAUUUCGACUAUUUUGAAUUGUUGACGUCGUGUUUCAGCCGGCGAAAUCGUCACAGCGCGGAUUCGAUUUUGUAUCUCUCAUUACAUAAAAUAUAGCGAGAUGUAAUGCCUGUAAUUCACAGUAGUGGUAGUUUAUACUCUCAAUUUUAUGUUUAUUCCACUAUUUUACAGGAAUCCUCCAAAAUGUGAUGUUUUUUGUCAAUAAAGUAUAUGUGAUGUAUGGUUCUAUACCGUACGCAGCACAAAUCGACAAAUUUUAAUGAUUUUUUCAUAAGAAAUAGUAAUACAUUAUAUAUACAAUUGAGGCCAAGAAAAAACUAAUCAAAAUGCACAAUUCUAUCAUUCAUAACGUACCAAAUAAAUGAUGCAAGGUUUCUACAAAUCCGCAUUAUAUGAACGAAACACCGCAGUAACUUGAAUUGACGUCGUGCAAGAGCGAGUCGAUAACAAGCACUUGCGCGAGUACGAUCGACAACUUUUAAUUUCUGCUGUUUUCAUAACGCAAUAAAUGGUCUUGGUUUCAUCAGAACAAAUUACUUUUGUCUCAAGAUAAGUAAAGUGAUAGCACGUAAUUUGAUAUCUACAAAUAAAAAAUAAAUAAAAAUAAAGCCGACGACAGCAAAAGCUAUUUAUAGUAAUCGGGUAUUUCCUAGAUGAUCACUUUCGGUUUCUAAACGGUGAGACGGACAUGUGCCUGGUGCCGAUUGAUUUCGCGGACCUCACAUAUUACCGAUACAAGUCGUCACCAAAACAAUAUGCAGUGACCACUGUCAACUCAACUAACGAACUGUGAAGUGACAUUUGGCGUUAUGAAGAGUUGCAGACGUACAUUGUAAAUGGACACAAACAGACAAACAAUCGUGUUCAGAUAGGCCUACAUAAUUAUGUAGGUAAGGUAUUGCCCAAUUACUUGUACGAUUUGGAGCUGUCCCAAUUUUACUAGCAAGCUUGGUGUACAAAAUUUAAUGUGAACAUUGGCUUAUGGAUGAUUCUGCCUAAUAUAUGACAUCAAAGGUACAUCAGCUUUAGGACUUUAUUUAUAUGGAUAUUUGUGGUGUGACCAAUACUAGAAGAUAAAUGCCAUCCCCUGCCACCAGAGACAGCAGAUUUAGGCAUCUUUUCCCUAUAGCUACACUCUCCCACUAUUCUAUGUCAUUGAUUAAAAUUACAGAACUUAA